CAAGUUGAAUCCCAGUGUUGGACGUUGGGCCUGGUGGGAGAUAAGGACCCCCAGUCCUACAGAGGUUUUUCAAGUACAACAGAGGCACUUCUUGGAGGACUUCUAGACACAGCCAUUGGACUUACUAAAAGCAGGACUUUUAGGAUGUAUGUUACAUAUAUGCAUAGAAUAAGAUUCAAAAAAAUAAAUACCAGACUGUAAACAGAGAUGAUCUCU
rnacentral:lncRNA from 1 species